AUUGAACGCUGGCGGCAUGCUUUACACAUGCAAGUCGAACGGCAGCGCGGGCUUCGGCCUGGCGGCGAGUGGCGAACGGGUGAGUAAUGCAUCGGAACGUGCCCAGUAGUGGGGGAGAGCCCGGCGAAAGCCGGAUUAAUACCGCAUACGACCUGAGGGUGAAAGCGGGGGACCGAAAGGCCUCGCGCUAUUGGAGCGGCCGAUGUCGGAUUAGCUAGUUGGUGGGGUAAAGGCUUACCAAGGCGACGAUCCGUAGCUGGUCUGAGAGGACGACCAGCCACACUGGGACUGAGACACGGCCCAGACUCCUACGGGAGGCAGCAGUGGGGAAUUUUGGACAAUGGGGGCAACCCUGAUCCAGCCAUGCCGCGUGCGGGAAGAAGGCCUUCGGGUUGUAAACCGCUUUUGUUCGGGAAGAAAUCCUCUGGGCUAAUACCCCGGGGGGAUGACGGUACCGGAAGAAUAAGCACCGGCUAACUACGUG
rnacentral:rRNA from 1 species